GAUGAACGCUGGCGGCGUGCCUAAUACAUGCAAGUCGAGCGAAGCGGGGAGGGGGGCGUACCACGUGGAUAAACUCCUAUACGACCGGGUUAACUUAGGGAAACCGGAGGUAAACCGGCUAGUUAUAGAUGGCUCAGCGCUGCAUUAGCUAGUUGGUAAGGUAACGGCUUACCAAGGAAACGAUGCAUAGCCGACCUGAGAGUGUGAUCGGCCACACUGGAACUGAGACACGGUCCAGACUCCUACGGGAGGCAGCAGUAGGGAAUCGUCCGCAAGGGGCGAAAGCCUGACGGAGCAACGCCGCGUGAGUGAUGAAGGUCUUCGGAUCGUAAAACUCUGUUAUUAGGGAAGCGGUACCUAAUCAGAAAGCCACGGCUAACUACGUGCCAGCAGCCGCGGUAAUUC
rnacentral:rRNA from 1 species